GUAGGGGGUCCGGCUCGGCCGCCGCUUGGCAGGAGCAGUGCGGGGGGAAUUGGGGUUCAUGGAGGCAGCCUCAGCCCAUGAGGCUGUGUUUGCAGCUCCCGCCCACGUCGUGAUCAGCCGUGUGCUGUCUCCUUGUGACCACCCCCGAGGGGAGUUAAUGACAGUGGGUGCAUCUACACGAGCUGUUUUAAUGCUCAGUGGACUGUUUUAUGCAUCAAGGCAAAAAGCAUACUAAUACGCAGUAGAAUUAGCCUAUGCUAUGUUAAGCAGAAAAAAAGUUCACCUUUGCUACCAUGCAUUGCCACAGCAGCUUUAUUUACUACUUCAUGCAAAGGCAGGUGAAUGAAUGUGUAGAGGUGCCCAGUAUAGCAGGGUUUGUCUCAGCCAAAGAAAUCCUUGCCUCUCGUAUCAGUUGUUUACAGCUUAAUAGCAAGAAGAUAACAGUUCUUGCUGUUGGGAUUGUCUGGCUCUUUAUAAUAAGGUGCCAUGUGUGUGCCUGUAUCUAGUGACUAGAUUCUCGGCUGCAUUCAGGCUAAGUUCUCGGGGGAAAGGACAAAAGGAGGCUCUCCAUAAAAUGCUUUCCAACCUUUCUCAUGGCAUAUGUCAAAAUCCAGGACCCAACCGAUUAAAAAGGUAACUGAGAGGUGAUAGAGGACUAUCUUGCACAACAAAGAACAGAAUUGUUACUUUGGACCAAGAAUCCUGCCUGACUAUUCUCUAGCAAAGAGUUACAUGUUGGAAGAUGCAUGUGAUGUGGCUUUGUAGAUCUGGUGUUCAGUUCCUGCUGUUGCCCCCCUAUAGAGCCAACAUUAGAGACCUGAAAAUGUUCUGCUCAUCACAAAACAUUCCUGAAGCCAUCUCUUUGAAACACUAUUGUGCCCCACUGCUUUGGAGCAGGGACUUACAAUUUAAUGAAGAUGGGAGUUGGGGAGGGGGGUUGCCUCCUGAGCAUCAGAACUGUAUUUUUGUCCUCCUUGUGAAAAUCUGCCUAAAUCUGCCAUAGUUUGAAAAAAAAUCAGUUUACUCAGGAUAUAUUUUGUGUUUUUAACAGCUAAAAUCACUGACAGUUCAGUCUUUGCUGAGCCUGCCUCAUACUCUCUGUAUGACACUCAAAUACCAGUAUGGUAUAAACUCAACACUGAGAUUGGGCUUAUGCUACCCCCACAAAGUGGUUAAGAAUGCUCCAGUUGUGAGCUAAGGGGUCCCAGAAGGAUCUUCCCAGACUGAUUCAAGGUGUGUGAUGAGAUUGGGACUGGAAGGACUGGUAGAGAAAUAGGCAUGGAGGAAGAAGACUGGGACUGGCUAGAUGAGGGGCUGGAAAUCAGGGGGAGAUAAACUCUGACUCACUUGUCGAAGAGGCUGGGACUCAGGCAUGAGGGGCAGGGGAGGCUUAGUCUUUCUGAACAAGGAGACUGGGACUGGAAAACAGCAAGGGAAAUGGCCUUUUUGGACAUUCAUCUUUGCAUCAGUUUUAUACGUUGUAUAUUUUCUUUGCAACCCUAAGAUCUAGAAAUUCACUCUAAAAAAUCCUAGACUUCUGAAGUUCAACAUAAUGUCCUUAAAUAAGUGGAGGUAUGGAAAGAGUAUUUUUUGCAUUUAUUCUUCAUAUAUGAAAGUUAAUAAGAAACUGAAGAAAAUAUUUUACUUAAGAUCGUUCUGCAAAGAACUUCCUUCUUUCCACAUCUGCCCUAAGACAUAAAGUUCCCCAUUCAUCUCAAGACAGCGUUAAGACAGAUACCCAAAAAUGAUCAUUUAUAAGCUUUUCUACACACAAGAAUAAAUUGAAAGUUCUCAGCUAUGUACAGUUCACUGCAGUGAGGUCUCGUCAUAGUGCCAGCAGUAGAUGUUGCUUAGUAUAAACGAUGUGUGCCCCCAGUGUCUGGGGGGGCAUGGCGGUGGCAGGAGCGUGGCAGCAGCGGUGGGAGUGCAGCAAUGGCGGCGGGAGCGAGGCAACAGUAAGCAGGGAGCUCCCGCAGAUGCCGCUGGUGCUGUCAGCGGGGGGGGUAGUGGCAAACACCGACCAGGGGUUGGCGACCACCACUAGAUGCUACCAAUAGCGUUGGUGGCAUCCAGCGGGGAUUGUGGACCACCCACAGAUGCUGGUGGUGGUGGCGAUGGUGGGCUGGUGAGCAGUGACUGCCCACAGGCACCAUUAACAGUGUCAGCAGUGCCUUUUUGUAGGGGGUGCACUGCCACGCUCAGGGGGUACACAUGCACCCGCGUGCACUCCCUACGUGUUGCCCCUAGUGCUUAGGAGAUACCACAACUUAUCUCAAGGAGUCUGGUAAGGCUCAGGAGCCAUAGUGAAGUCCAAUCAGAACAGAGCUAAACUAGCAGGUUUGUAAAGCAACAUAUUUGGAACAUUGUGCAAUCUCUUGUCCAUGCUUUCAGUUUGGCAAUUCAAAAGGGACGAGCUGAUUUCCUGGGCAAGACCUGAAAGAGUACUACAAACUUUGUUUCUUCUUCUAGUCAGUCCUCUGUUUGGGGGAAGGAGAUGAGGGAUCUGUAAUGAAGACAUAUUUUCUUUCAGGUCCUGGAUAGACGUAGGAGUUGAGAGGUAAACAAAGUUUUAAAUGAUUGAACUAAAAAUUACUAAGCUUUUAUGUCUAGCUUUUGAGAUGUCAGCAUUUCAAUACUCCUUCAUUUUUCAUAACUCCUGCUAAGAUAAACAAGACCUGAGUUUGUCUUGUAAUAACCAAGGGAAAGGCCCCCUGCCCUUCAUGUCUAAAGCCUUUCAUACCUCCUUUGUACAUCAUAACAAAACAAAAAUUCAGUCCCAUUUUUCACCCCUGCAGUCACCUUGAAAAAUUUUACAAACAGUAAGGGCAGACUCCUGUUUCACUUUUGUGCCUAAAUGGCAUUUACCCAGGUGAGUAACUGCACUUUUGGCAGUUAUAUAAAGUUUGCAGUCCUACGGGGUGUACAUUGUGGAUGUGCAAAUGCCCACAAGGCUACUGAAUGCACACAGUAAGUUGCCCUCCUGCUAGGGAGAUCUAUAUAGCUGUACCUGAGUGAGCAUAAAUCUUAAAUUUUGUAGCCAGGCAGGUUUUCCUACGUUUUAGCUCAAUAGUCUAGUGAUUAGGGGACUUGCACAAGAAAUGAGAGGCCUAGGUUCUAGGGGGGCUUCUCAGCAAGAGGAAGUACAAACCUACAUUCUUCUGACUUGCUAUCACAGUGCUUGAACCACUGAGCUAUGGGUUGGGUAUUCUCCUCUUGAAGCUGGGCAGCCAAGGAAGAUAUGUGGGAGUAGGAGGUUAAGAACAAGCUCAAGGUUAUGACUCAGUGAAAAUGAUGCUGGCUUGGAAGGGAAUAGGUUCCAGCUUGCACCCGUGCUCCCAGAGCGCCAGCCAUUUUACUCCUUUCAUUUUAUCUGAAUACUGUUAAAUGCAAGAGGUGGUGGCUUUGCAUUAAGAGGAGGGCUGGAUGCCUAACCUGUGCUUAAAACACUAUGCUGGCAAGUCAGAGAGUAGCAGAGUCAAACCCCCUCUAGGUAAGUGGGACCUAGAACUUGGGUCUCUGUGUUCCUGGGUAAGUGACCUGACUGAAGCCUUGGGACUAACACAGGGGAGGACUGCCCUCUUUCUUCCCCCUUUAACCUCUCUCUGUUUCUUGACCAGCUAUAAUCUGGGGACUUGCACUUAGGCAUUUGUGUAGGGACACCUACCUGGCCAGAGCACAGUCUAGUGUGCAUGAUUAAUAGCCUUAUGGACACGCGUGUGUUCACUAUGCACAGAAUAGGACUGCAAACUGUGCGUAAGUGGCAAACAGGCCAUUAUGCAGCUGGCUAAGUGUCACUUGAGUGCAUAAAGUAAAAUAGGAUUUCAGUUGACAGCUGAAACAAAGAAAGGAGUGAUAAGGUCCAAAGAUUCUUAAUGAUAAUAGUAAAAUGAGAGUAAGAUCAUUGUAACCCAAUAGAAAUAGAAGUAAUAUCAAAGGGUAAAAUGGUUCUCCAAAAUAUAUGGAACAAGGUGAGAAGAUGCCUUCUUUUAUUCUAAAUAUAAAAAUAUAAAUGUGUAUGCAUGUAUUCUUUGAGGCUAUGAGUGCCUGUAAAUCUAGAGCCUUCAUUUCCUAAGCCACAUUGCUCAGGCCUUGGAGGGAGAGAAAAAUUAUAACUAAUAUUUUAUUGGCAUGAGUUGGGGAUGGCUGCAUUACACAAAUGGAUGCUAUUAAAUCUUUAUACUGCACUGCACUAUCAUGAAUUUUGUAUGUGUCACAUAUUUUACAGACACAAAUAACUGAUUUAGAAAUGUUAUAGCGAGCUUUAUGGGGACUCCAGGCACAAAUGUCAGGUCUAAUUUGAAUUAUUGUUAUAGAAAAUCAUAGUUCUGUUUUUUCAUUGUUGUUAUACCAAUAGCCCUGACAACCUGCAAUUUACCUGGCAUAAACAGCACAUCCUGAAGAUAAAGGGUUGUUUUGCAUGCUGCAAUAUUUCCUUAUAUCUUCUCUCCUUACAGCCAUGAUAUUUCACAUUCAUUCCACUGGAUGGCACUGAAGGUGGCACUGAAGGAGACAAGAUCGUGUGUAAAUAUAUCCAGAAGUUCAAUAUAACUUUUAAAAAUGACAGUGGCUUCCUUAUUUGUGCCACUGAUGAAAUAUCAGACAAGUAGGGACCAGUUUUCAAUUCUGAUACAAUAUAUUAAUAAUCAAAGCAUUUAUUAAGAAGUCCUAACUGUAGUUACAAGUUAGUAGCAGAGGAAUAAUUGCAGUAUUGAGUCUAAUCAGGGCUCCAACUCUCCAUAUCCCUGAGUCCUCUCUGGGGACAUGGGUGAGAUGUAAGUUUUUGAUUUUUGCAUAUUCCUUGGUUUGGAUUUGAAAGGCCAUUAAAAGUAUUAUCUAGACUA